UACAGAGGUCCCAAGCGUUGUUCGGAUUCAUUGGGCGUAAAGGGUGCGUAGGCGGCGCGGUAAGUCGGGUGUGAAAUCUCGGAGCUUAACUCCGAAACUGCAUUCGAUACUGCCGUGCUUGAGGACUGGAGAGGAGACUGGAAUUUACGGUGUAGCGGUGAAAUGCGUAGAUAUCGUAAGGAAGACCAGUGGCGAAGGCGGGUCUCUGGACAGUUCCUGACGCUGAGGCACGAAGGCGUAGGGGAGCAAACGGGG
rnacentral:rRNA from 1 species